rnacentral:rRNA from 1 species
AACGAACGCUGGCGGCAUGCCUAACACAUGCAAGUCGAACGAGAACUUCGGGUCUAGGGGCGCACGGGGGCGUAAGGCGGGGGAAGCUGCACGUAGGUACGGAAUAACUCCCCGAAGGGGGUGCUAAUACCGGAGAAUGUAUUCGGACCAAAGAUCUAUCGCCUUUGGCUGGGGGCGCGUUGGCUUAGCUGGUUGGUAGGGUAAAAGCCUACCAAGGCGUCGAUCCAUGGCUGGUCUGGGAGGAUGAUCAGCAACACUGGGACUGAGACACGGCCCAGACUCCUACGGGAGGGAGCAGUGUGGAAUACUGGACGCUGGGCGCAGGCCUGAUACCGCAGUGCCGCGUGUGUGGUGAAGGCCUUAGGAUUGUACAGCUCUUUUACCCGGGAUGAUAGUGACGGUACCGGGAGAAUAAGCUCCGGCUAACUACGUG